rnacentral:rRNA from 1 species
AGCGAACGCUGGCGGCAGGCUUAACACAUGCAAGUCGAACGCCCCGCAAGGGGAGUGGCAGACGGGUGAGUAACACGUGGGAACGUACCCUUUGGUUCGGAAUAACUUGGGGAAACUCAAGCUAAUACCGGAUAAGCCCUUAUGGGGAAAGGUUUACUGCCGAAGGAUCGGCCCGCGUCUGAUUAGCUAGUUGGUGAGGUAAUGGCUCACCAAGGCGACGAUCAGUAGCUGGUCUGAGAGGAUGAUCAGCCACACGGGGACUGAGACACGGCCCAGACUCCUACGGGAGGCAGCAGUGGGGAAUAUUGGACAAUGGGGGCAACCCUGAUCCAGCAAUGCCGCGUGAAUGAUGAAGGCCUUAGGGUUGUAAAGUUCUUUUAUUGAUGACGAUAAUGACGGUAGUCAAUGAAUAAGCACCGGCUAACUUCGUGCCAGCAGCCGCCGUAA